UGUUAUUUGUAUUUCCUGUCUAAUUUAGAGUUAAGAUUUAUUAGUGAUUUAAGUGUAUUUGUAUAAACCUAUCAAAUUUUGAACCAUUGUUAAUUGUUGAACUAGAGUGUACUUGAUAAUAAAUAUACUUAUUGUUAGUUUGUUAGUUUUAGCUAUAAUAUUGUUUUAAGUGAUUGUUAAAUCAAUACCCCGCUUUGUUUUGUUAAAGUGUUUCUUUUAAAAAGGGGGGGAGUAGUGUAGCGGCAUAGCGUAUAAGUACCUACUUAAGGCGUGUCAAGUUGCAACGUAAACAAAGUUACAGUUUAUAUUUCGGAUGUAAUAAAUUAUAGGUAUUGUUCAUUCAUUUCAUUGUUCAUUAUGUGAACACGCGCACUGUGUAUCCGUCUUAGUAAGGAACAAUAUACUUUCAGUCGUCAUCGGUCUUUCAUUUGGUCUACACCUCAGAUCACACACUACCACCCUCUAAACAAAAAUAUAUUUUGUUGCUUAGUUCCUUCUGUAAAAUAGAUGAAACAUUCACUGUUGCAAUAUUUCUAAAAAUAAAAGUAAUUCUUAGUACAAUACACUUUUAAUAUUAAAACAAUAAUAAGUAUAACAGAAACACGACCUUAAUCACUAUUAUCGCCCUCUACUUCAAAAUCGAGAGGGCCGGUAAAGCCAUCAAUAUCGUCUUCUAUUGUUUCACCUUUCAGGGUUUUGUAGAAAGUCUUUGCGUCGUGUGGUAUGAGGUGCAGAAUACUCCUUAUAUCUGUAAGCUUAGCGUAUAGCGGCAUAGCGUAUAAGUACUACUUAAGGCGUGUCAAGUUGCAACGUAAACAAAGUUACAGUUUAUAUUUCGGAUGUAAUAAAUUAUAGGUAUUGUUUAUUCAUUUCAUUGUUCAUUAUGUGAACACGCGCACUGUGUAUCCGUCUUAUUAAGGAACAAUAUACUUUCAGUCGUCA